GCCUGGGUGGCUCAGUGGUUGAGCAUCUGCCUUCAGCUCAGGUCGUGAUCCCAGGCU
rfam:Canis lupus familiaris chromosome 4, whole genome shotgun sequence.